rnacentral:rRNA from 1 species
GACGAACGCUGGCGGCGUGCCUAAUACAUGCAAGUCGAGCGGAACUGGGGGAGCUUGCUCCUUCCAGUUUAGCGGCGGACGGGUGCGUAACACGUGGGCAACCUGCCCUGCAGAUCGGGAUAACUCCGGGAAACCGGUGCUAAUACCGCAUAGUUUUGCGCCUCUCCUGAGGCACCACGGAAAGACGGUUUCGGCUGUCACUGCAGGAGGGGCCCGCGGCGCAUCAGCCAGUUGGUGGGGUAACGGCCAACCAAGGCGACGAUGCGUAGCCGACCUGAGAGGGUGACCGGCCACACUGGGACUGAGACACGGCCCAGACUCCUACGGGAGGCAGCAGUAGGGAAUCUUCCGCAAUGGACGCAAGUCUGACGGAGCAACGCCGCGUGAAUGACGAAGGUUUUCGGAUCGUAAAACUCUGUUGUGAGGGAAGAACACGUACCAACUAACUAUUGGUACCUUGACGGUACCUCGCCAGAAAGCCACGGCUAACUGCGUGCCAGCCGCCGCCGUAA